UACGUAGGGUGCAAGCGUUGUCCGGAAUUAUUGGGCGUAAAGAGCUCGUAGGCGGUUCGUCGCGUCGGCUGUGAAAUCCCGAGGCUCAACCUCGGGUCUGCAGUCGAUACGGGCGGACUGGAGUUCGGCAGGGGAGACUGGAAUUCCUGGUGUAGCGGUGAAAUGCGUAGAGAUCCGGAGGAACCCCAGAGGCGAAGGCGGCCCCCUGGCUCGUACCUGACGCUCAGCCACGAAAGCAUGGGGAGCGAACGGG
rnacentral:rRNA from 1 species